AGAAUGAACGCUGGCGGCGUGCUUAACACAUGCAAGUCGAACGGAAUCCAAGGAGCUUGCUCUGGAAGAUUUAGUGGCGAACGGGUGAGUAUCACGUGAGCAACCUGCCCCGAAGACUGGGAUAACACCGGGAAACCGGUGCUAAUACCGGAUACCUUCCAAUGACCGCAUGGUCGAUGGAAGAAAUGUUUUUCGCUUCGGGAGGGGCUCGCGGUCCAUCAGCUUGUUGGCGGGGUAACGGCCACCAAGGCUUCGACGGAUAGCUGGUCUGAGAGGACGAUCAGCCACACUGGAACUGAGACACGGUCCAGACUCCUACGGGAGGCAGCAGUGGGGAAUCUUGCGCAAUGGACGAAAGUCUGACGCAGCAACGCCGCGUGAGGGACGAAGGUUUUCUGAAUUGUAAACCUCUUUCGACAGGGACGAUAAUGACGGUACCUGUAGAAGAAGCACCGGCCAACUAUGUGCCAGCAGCCGCGGU
rnacentral:rRNA from 1 species